rnacentral:lncRNA from 1 species
CCGACACCAACAGGCUUGGAAGAAUUCAAUGUUUGUAAACCAGAACCUUCUCACGGAUAUGUUUCCUCGUUAAUCUAACAGUCCUCAAAUCUUUCCAACUGCAGGGAUGUUUUCUUCAAAAGCAGAGAUUUAUCAAAUCUCUUUAGUACUGAGAACGAAGUAAGGAGAGACUGGAGGAUGGGAAAGGAGUCCUUUCCCUCUCUGCUUUUCCCAGGAAACCGUUCCACUGACAGUGAGGCCAACGUUCACUUUCCGUCACCACUCAACUUUGACCAAACUGUCCCACCAAUGGCUCCUAGGAGGACACCGAUGGAGCAAGACAGGUGGGCUUCCUUGUUGGCACUCAGGGACAAGUGCAUGAUCAUGCAACAUCUGGAUGUGCACACACGUGUGACCCUACACAAGCACACGGAGGGACAGUGACAAACCUGGGAUUCCUGCAGCUCGGGGAAGCUACUGCCCAUGCAAUCCGGAAUAUGAAGAUGUUGUAAAAUAAAAAACUGAAGCACAGAG